AAAAGAAGGCAGGCAUUUUGGAUUACUUGCAACAACAACAAAUAUAUUUUGCUACUGAGGUGAGAGCAAAGAUUGAUAAAACUCCCUUCAGAAACAAAUACAAUCCAUCAAAACUUUUUUUUUUUUUUAAACAUCUAAUUUUGUUACAUAUUUGAAAUAGAAAGUUCCUUUUAUACCCCAUAGAGAAAUAUGCAUGCAUGGUAUCAUUGUGAAUACACUUAAAGUAAUCUAAAUAAUGAAGUCUCUAGCAUGACGUUAUGAAAAGCACAAUUGUAACUAUUUACAUUAUAUUUAAAACUUGUAUGAAUUUCCCUUUUUUUAGUUUAAACUAGAUAUAGAAAUGUAAAGUGAAAGGAGAAUUUACUGGGGGGAAAAAACAAAUAAAUAAAUAACGCACAGUCUCUUAUCACUACAGCUUUUAUAUGCCAUAUAGAAACGAAUAUUUAAUUAUGAGGAUAAAAGGUUUGAGGACAAAGAAUAGAAAGUACAAGAUGUCUAACAGAAUUGAUGUCAGACGAACUGCAAAAGGACAAAAUUGCCUCUCGAAGCCUAGAUGCCAUAAAUGAACUGAUAUACCAUAAUGGAAAACAAAAUAUAGUUGUGAGAACAAUAUUUGUCUAAAAAGUUUAAUAAGAAUUUAUGAAAAAACUUAAAAAACUAGAAAUGUGAUACAUAAAAUCAUGUCUCGAGUCAAAUUGUUAUAUGUCAAUUUGGAAUUCCCAGAAUUUUUAAUAAAUUCAUGUGUAAUGCUUUGGAUGGGCUAAAUUACAUUUUUUUAUUAUGUCUUGGCCACUUAAGUAAGUUGAAGUAGUUAUGGUGCCGCAGUCUAUAUGUCAUAGGCGUGCGCACGGGGUGUGCCGGGUGUGCCUGGGCACACCCUAAUCCCCUCGGCACGCCUAUGGAGUGAGACCGGCAGGGGAGAUCUCAGGAUCUUCCCUGUUGGCUCAUGCAGAGCUGGCGCUCCCCGAGCGCCGGCUCUGCUCUCAGCAUCCCUCCCCACCGACCCACAUGCAGGGAGGGAGACAGGAGAGGACCUGGGGAGCUGUUGCCGGCAGCUCCGCCGGGCUCCUCUUGCGAGAUCUGAGCGUUGCCGCAGGCUAGAGUUCACUCUCCACUGGACCAACAGGGAUGGCAGAAAGGAUCCCCCCUCCCUACAUAAAGUAAGACGGGAGGGGGGAUAUUAAGUAAUGUACCCACACAUACACAGCACCUGCACACAUACAGCACCCACAGACAUACACAGCACCCACACACACACACACAGCACCCUCACAAACACACACAGCACCCUUACACACAGCACACAAACAGAACCCUCACACACACACAGCACACUAACAGUACCCUCACAAACACAAACAGGACCCUAACACACACACAGCACACUACCAGUACAUUAACAGCACACACACACACACAAACAGCACCCUCACACACAGUACAUUAACAGCACCCUCACAAGCGCGCACACACAAACACCCUCACCCACAUAGCACACUACCAGUAUCCUCACACUAACAGCACACACACAGCAGUAUGUGUGUGUGUAUAUAUAUAUACAUACACACACACACACACACAUACAUAUAUACAUACAUACAUACAUACAUAUACGCGGCGUGUGCUUGUGCUUUAGGGUGCACACCCUAAUGCAAUAGGCUGCGCACGCCUUUGCUGUAUGUGUAGUGUUCUGUUAUGAAAUACUGCACAUACAGAGUUUAACCCAUGGAUGCGCCCAGGUGGACACAGGAAAGAGCGCAAACCUUUGGAUAAACAUUUUUGCCCAUUACUUGGAAAUAGGGUCAGAGUACUCCUCACAUCAUAACCUGCACAGGCUGUUGUAGUUAUGAUGCUUCGAAUAACUAAUUUUUCCAAAGAUAAAAAAAAAUCCAAACAGAGAUCAAUGUAUAACAUAAUCAACAAUGCUGGAUAAGUAUGUAAUAUUCAAAUGAUGUGGCAUAAAUAGACAAACAGACAAUCAGGUAGGUGGCACAGUCAUUGUACAUAUGUAUUCCAUGGCAAUUAAAAAGGAGGUAGCUGAUCAUAAGCACUUUUUUAUAACAUGAUUAUAAUUUGAUACAAAAGAAUAAAUAACCAAAAAAAAAUAUGUUUAACAGCGGUAAAACAAUAGAAUUUAGUCUACGGACUCUGUGAUUGUAUGCAAAAGUACUUCUCACCCGCACUAGUGCAAUGUGGAUAACAAACGUUCAAAAUGUUUAUACACUCUGUGUACCUAUACAUGUAUUUAAUACGUCAAGAAAGAGUGAAAAGAUGUGGGGGUUUUUUUUAAAUACAAAAUUAUUUAACAUUUGUUCUCAUGGGUCUGAUUACCGGAAAGAUUGCAGUUGCAUAAAGAUUUGUAGCAUUUAAAAAUAGGAUGUUUAAUAAAUUAAAUAAACACAUUUGAAAUGAAUAUCACACUGUUUAAAAUCAUUACCCUUACUGGAAAAAAAAUAAAAUACAUUUUUUUUUAGAAUUUUACACCAGCAGAAACCAAACAAAAAAUGCUAAUUUAGAAUUAAACACCAGCAGAAAACAUAUUUAAAACACAGACACUACAAGCUGUAAAUUCUAUAACUACCUGGGACAACCAAACAGGUUCUUGAAAAAAAUGACUAAUAUUUAUAUAAAUGUAUAUAAGCAAGGCAUCUUAAAAAACAAAACAAAAAAACGAUACCGUUCUUGAGGUUCUCACAUGACUUAAACAUCUAAGCACCUUUGCUUUAAAAAUAAUGUAACAAAGACAGAAAAGAGAUAAUUUUAAAAAUAUCAUAAUAAUGCUAAUAUAAUAAAACAUUUAAUGAAUGCAGUUUAGCAUAACAGAAAUCUGUUGGCGAAUCUGGUGGACACUUGCAAAAUGUUCUCUAAGCAGCUUCGGUCAAUAGGCCUUAUUCAGACAUAGCACAAGACUUUGAUAUUUCUCCCUUUCUAGCUCCCAAGAAUGGUGAGUCUGUAUAUACAUUUUAGCAUUAGAAAUAAUUCUUCUUUUCAAAUCCGGUUCGUUCAUCAGUCUUUUGGACAACUGGACAAACUCCUGAAAAAGAAGAACAUAUAUCAGUAAAAAGAGGAAUAAAGGCACUCUAUGCGGAUGAUUUAUGUGCAAUUAUGGUAUAAAACAUGGACAGUUCACUGUAUCCUUUCACCAAUCAAUCUCAGCUAUGUAUUGAUUAAAAAGGACUUGUCUAAUAGCUGUACUGCCUAAACUGAACAAAAAACUGAAUUGCAGAACUAAUUUUGUAAAAAAAAAUGUGCCCAGAAAAAAUAUGGCACAUCUUAGAAGCUGUAAAAUGUGUGUGUUAACCAUUACAUUGUUUUUGUAAGCACUAAUACUUUUAAGAUAGGAUGUUGCU
rnacentral:lncRNA from 1 species